UACGUAGGGUGCGAGCGUUAAUCGGAAUUACUGGGCGUAAAGCGUGCGCAGGCGGUUUUGUAAGCCAGAUGUGAAAUCCCCGGGCUUAACCUGGGAAUGGCAUUUGGGACUGCAAGGCUCGAGUGCGGCAGAGGAGACUGGAAUUCCUGGUGUAGCAGUGAAAUGCGUAGAUAUCAGGAGGAACACCGGUGGCGAAGGCGGGUCUCUGGGCCAUAACUGACGCUGAGGAGCGAAAGCGUGGGGAGCGAACAGG
rnacentral:rRNA from 1 species